rnacentral:rRNA from 1 species
GCGGCGUGCCUAAUACAUGCAAGUAGAACGCUGAAGGAGGAGCUUGCUUCUCUGGAUGAGUUGCGAACGGGUGAGUAACGCGUAGGUAACCUGCCUGGUAGCGGGGGAUAACUAUUGGAAACGAUAGCUAAUACCGCAUAAGAGUAGAUGUUGCAUGACAUUUGCUUAAAAGGUGCAAUUGCAUCACUACCAGAUGGACCUGCGUUGUAUUAGCUAGUUGGUGGGGUAACGGCUCACCAAGGCGACGAUACAUAGCCGACCUGAGAGGGUGAUCGGCCACACUGGGACUGAGACACGGCCCAGACUCCUACGGGAGGCAGCAGUAGGGAAUCUUCGGCAAUGGACGGAAGUCUGACCGAGCAACGCCGCGUGAGUGAAGAAGGUUUUCGGAUCGUAAAGCUCUGUUGUAAGAGAAGAACGAGUGUGAGAGUGGAAAGUUCACGCUGUGACG